rnacentral:rRNA from 1 species
GAUGAACGCUGGCGGCGUGCCUAACACAUGCAAGUCGAACGAAGCGUCCAGGAGGAAGUUUUCGGAUGGAAUCCGGGAUGACUGAGUGGCGGACGGGUGAGUAACGCGUGGGUAACCUGCCCUGUACUGGGGGACAACAGUUAGAAAUGACUGCUAAUACCGCAUAAGCGCACAGGAUCGCAUGGUCCGGUGUGAAAAACUCCGGUGGUACAGGAUGGACCCGCGUCUGAUUAGGUAGUUGGCGGGGUAACGGCCUGCCAAGCCGACGAUCAGUAGCCGACCUGAGAGGGUGACCGGCCACAUUGGGACUGAGACACGGCCCAA